ACCUUCGGAUCGUUGGCCGCAAAUCCGUGGAUAAGCCGUGGAGAACAAAAGUCCUGGCAGGGAGGAGGAGGGGUGGGUGGGCAACGUGGUCAGAAAUACGGCGCGCGUUCCACGGCUUUGGAUAAAACCCUUUUAGAGGGGGGAGGGGCUGCCGUCGAAACGUUUCGAUCUCGUCAUUACGAUACCACGACGUGACGAUUCGAGAAAUUGCUACGUGCUAUAUAUAUAUAUACACACACAUUGCUCGUUAUCGUGGCUCGUUUCGUUGAUUUUCAUGAAUUGAGAUCGUUUUUUUAUUUUAAAAAAAGAGGAGGGUGAAAGCCGUCGGAGGACGCCAUUAAGGGGAUGAUGGAUUUUUUAUACCGUGAAUAAUAGCCGUAUCAAAUCGGGAAUUUCUUGGAUUUCUUAUCUAACGCUAUCCCGUUUUGCUAUCUCGGGAACGCGACGAUCAAUCAACCGUGGCCCCCUAUCUUCGCGAAUAUGAAUAGGGAUGGAUAUAUCCUAGCGCGAUAUUCCGUGAUCGAGAAAUGAUCAAAAAUUGUACCCAGAGUUCCCAGAUUAAAAAAGGAAGCAAGGCGUGUCUUCUCCGUAUUAAAUACAGGCGGAGUUUUUCCUCUCCACUCUUGCUCCCUUUGCGCGGAAAACAAAGGCAGGAAGAAGCGGCAAAGCACACAAUAGAUGAUAUAGGUAUCGCCGAUUUUUCACCCGUCCGCCAGAUUUUUCAAUGUAACUUGAGAGCGGCUCCCUCGCGAGGUCCCAGGACAGAGGAAUGGAUGAACAGAGGCGGCGAGGAAGGGUAGAGAGAGAGAGAGAGCGAGAGGGAGAGAGAGGAGGGGGUCGCAAGAGGGGCAAGAACGGAACCGGAGACGAGCGGUGGGGAGGGAAGGGUCACGGUGUAGAAAAAGAGGCCACGGAGAGGCAGAAACGGAGGAGGAGGAGGAGAUUCGAAAACGAUAGAGAGAGGAAGAAAGGUUUUCCCUUCCUUGGAAGAGAUGUACAAUAAUGGCGGGGGGGGAAAGAGAAAGAAAAAAAAAGGUCUCCGCCGCAUCCUGCAGGAAAAUCUGCCUCGAGGAGGGUUGUUGCCUCGGGGAGGGUGGAGCGGGAUGGCGGUUCGGGCAUCUCGACGUCAUUAAUAAAAGUGUCAAUGGUGUCAGUGGACUAAUGCCUGUAGCCGCUUGGUUGGGCGGUGGCACCACGACCUCCCCCUCUCUCGGCUGCGUCGGCUUCAAUCGUUUCCUACUCGCCGAGACGUACCUUCCUUACCCUGUGCCUAUCAGCCGAUGUGCAGGGAGGAUUAAAAAUAAAAAUUCGAUGAAGCUCACCUCGAAUCUGAUCUAAAUUAUUCCGCAUAUCUCUUUAACGAGCCCACGUCGAUGUACAUAUAUAAGAAUAAUUUUAACGUAUCUCGUGAUAAUAUUCUUCCCAUUCCGCGUAAAGUUUUAAAGCACAAGUGUAAUUUUAAGCGGUUUCAAUGGCGCUUCCCAGCCCCGCCAAGAAUAACGAUCUUUCAUCGCCGAUGUCGUGAAAAGGGGCGGGGUGGGGUGAGCAGGGUAAUGACGGGAGCGGGCUCGCGUAUUAGGAAACAAGUUUAAGGCCGUCGGUGGUUGAGGAGCCUCGAAACUCCGUCCGUGGCGCGGGGAGGCCCCCGAUAUUAUUACUAUGUAAAUCACCCCCUCUGCACGCUGACGCCCACGGUGACAGCCUCCCGAGUGGCCCACGACGCACGAUGGAUGAGCUCCGGCUUCUUAUUAGAUAUUCCUAUGCGCCAUCCCUCCGAUCUGCAAACACGUUCCUUCAUUUCGCGCCGAUAUACGUUAUACUCCUUGCCGCGCGGUGGGCGAGUCGGGCGGAUUUUAUGGAAAAUCGCGCUAACGGCCUCGAUUUCGCGGUUUAAUCUGAUCAGCGGAGGGAAAAUUCUCGACCGAAUGCGUUGACGUAUAUUAUCCUCCCGAUUUCGAUCGUUAUUAUUGGGUAAGAAGAAAAUUUUUAUGAAAUAAUUAUUUAAGAAAAAAGAAAGAAAGGAAAAUAAGAAUUCGAAACGGACGAUGGUGUUUUUCUGAGAGAAUUUGAGAGGUAAUCGCUUUGGAUCCUGUUCAACUGUCCGUUGGAAAGAGAUCGGUUGAAAUUAAUGUAAAACUUUCGUGACGGAGGGAAUGGAAAAAAAUGGUAUACCUAGAGCGAUUAAUUCGACUUUAAUGCAUUGCGGUAACGAAAGAAAUUACUCUCGAAGGGGAAAUGUUGCUUGUCGAAUUCUAUUUCCAUUCUGAAUAAUUUUUCAAAAAGAAGAAAAAAGUUAGAAUCGUGGAUUUAAUAAAAAUUGCAAAAUAAUUUUUAAAAUUUUCCAAGGAGAGAAACGGAAGAAAGACGCUAUUGAUUAGAAUAUCAAGAGACAAGCAUAAAGACUGUGCAUAACGAGUUUGGUAAACAAUAUAAAAGGGGUCGAAAGAGAAAGGGUUGCUGCCCUUGGGAUAAAAGGGGUUCGCGGUCUGACCCGACAGAUACUUUGACGUCUUUCUCCAUAAAACACAAUGUUAAUUAACGAACAGGAGACGCCCUCUCGCGGAGAUCCCUGGCUACACUCGCGAUUCUCAAUCAACGACGGUAUUCAUGAGCCUACCACGACGCUCAGACGCACGACUAAAUUAUGCGAACCAAGUAUAGAACGUUUUAUGAACGAAAGUAUCAAGAUGCCUUUGCGAAACGGUUUUUCACUGUCUCUACUAAGUGCACACUGUUUGUUCGUGUUUGAAAAGAAAGAUUUUGGUUUUACUCGUUGUUUACUUCGAUCGUUGGAUACGAUUAUCGAUGCAUAGAAAUUGUGAGUAACCUAACAUUUUUACUUGAAAAUAUAUUUUUUGAUAUAAAUUUCUUUACGAGGUAUAAAGUAUUGCGUUGUGUUAAUAAAUAUUACGUCAAGUAAAUAUUCAAUUGGAAGAAUAAUAGAGGUUAUAUCGUAGUAAUGUUCGUUGAUCAGAACUCGUCCAGAUAGAAUCAUUUUGUUCGAGUUAACCAUCGUGAUAGUCUGUAUAUAUAUCGACAACUCGAUACCAGGAAAAGUAGUUGGAAAAUACAGGUUAGGAAUUGGGUUGACACAGAUGAAUAAUGUAUCUUGAUGAUUUCAUUUCACGUUUUGUUUCGAAGAAUUUAUUCUUUCAGAAGAAUUUCGAUCAGGAUCAAGAGACACACGUGAAUUUCGUCAUAAAAAUUGACAAGAUGUUCAAAAAAUCUAUAAUUAACCCGAUUAAUCGGCAGAACUGGAUGCGUAACGUACAUCCUAUCCCAUGUAAUCGUUCUAUCAAGAGGAACAAGGACAGAGAAAUCUCAAAAUGGAGCUCGUACAAAGCGAAGGACGUAAACGAUAAUUUCACCCGUGUGCGCAAUCUUAUCCAUGAUAUCGACGUCUCCGUACAGGUGAAUUCACUCUGAUUACAGAUUCAGCCAACCUGAAAAUUACGCGGUCGAUUCUCCGUGACGAGCAAGAGAAUGAGAGAGAGAAAGAGAGAGAGAGAGAAGGUGAUGAAGUCGAAUCAGGUAUUCAUGAGAAAGAGAGAGAUUGAUAAACAACAUCACGUAAUUUUGCUUAUAAGAUCAAAUUACAGUCGGCGUCGAAUUAAAGACCGUUCAUUUUCUGCCUGUUUAUUCGCGAUUCAUUCGUAAAAUGUGUACUGUAGUCUUGAAUCGAACCGAUUUACGUCGAUUCGUGUCAUGUUUUUAAUGCUAUAACUUGAACGAGCGUCGUUUGGAAAGGUGGAAUUACUAAAAGGAAAAUAAGAUCUUGCACUCUCUUCGAUUAACGCGAUCAAUAAUUCUUAUUGGUUCAGAGGAAUUCAUUCGGAAAUUGAAAGGUUUUUGUUUUUCGAUAAAAUUAUUCAUGUAGAUAUAAUAUAGAGAUAGUUUUACUCAAAUUAUUAAUUCUUUUUAAAUAAUUUUCUUUUUAAGGAAUAAUCAUUAAAAUUCUUCCUGAUGAUUUUCAUAGUAGAGGAGUAUAGAUGGCAGAUUGUGUAACCAUCAGAAUGCGUAUCUCCAAGCUUUGAUUCCAGUACCUCUGAUAAAUCCCCUAUAUCCAAUUCAACCAACCAAAAAAAAAAAGGAAAAAAAAAGGAAAAAAAAAAGAGAAAAACUGGUAGAGGCUUCAAUUUCCUCGUCACGAAGCGGGCCAACAAAAGCAUUCCGGCCAGAUAAAUUUCUACGUUGGUCGCUUUUCGCGUCAGCCCUUCGACAACCUUCAAGUUCCUCACAAAGAAGGGAACACAGCGAUGGCGGUGGGCAGUGGUGUAGGCAGGUCCCUCGGGAAUCUUUCUCUCUCUUUCUCUCCAACUCUCAUCUCAUCUCUCUUCAUCUUCCAUCUCUUUCUCCAUCGGCCACUGGUACAAAAGAAAGAAGAGGAUAAAUGAUUGAAGAGAGAACGAGAGAGAGAGAGAAAGGGACAUCUUGCUCCACAGGACUCUCGCUCUCGCCACCGGCGCCCCCGCUAUUUAUUUUCCAGGAUUUCAGAGUCCGAAGCCAUUAAUCUCCGCUCCGCAGCGUCAGUGGAGCGCGUCAGGGCGACGUCGGGGUGCGUGGCGUCGGCGACGUCGCUCUGCUCUUAGCCGCAGAGCCUCGUGUACACCGUCGUGGCAGCCUGCUGUUGAAGAGAGGGAGAAUGGGAGAGAGAGAGAGAGAGACAGAGUGAACGAAAAGAUGAGGUGUCGGUGAAAGAAGAGAGGUGAACAUGGAGCGAGAGAAAGAAAGAGUGGAGGAAGAGAGGGAGGGGAAAGCGUCCGGAGAGGGAGUCGGUGAGAGACAUGGGAAGUUCUAUAAGGUUUUGGAGGGGGUGCUGAUGGCGGCGAUGAGAGAGGGGAACUCCUACGGCCAAGUUAUGCAAAAAACGUCUAUUCGUGAAAGGAUGAUACCGUGCUGGAAGAUGGAAAGGCAUUAGUAUCUAAGAAUUUUGCGGUGAUGGCCUUUUGAUGUCCAUCUCAAUUCGAGUAUUCCGAUUUAACGCUUCGGUUUAUCGCGUUAAUGAAAUUGGAAUUGGAUUUGCGAAUAUUCAUUACGACUCCUAUUGAUCCCUAUGGUAUUUUAUAUUUUCUGUCUUUGAUUUAAAUUUAAAUUCUUUAAAGUUUUAUUAUUCCUUCAUUUUUUAUAUAUAAAUUUUUCGUUUGUUUGUGCACAUCUUUAAAUUACAUUUUAUAAAACGACAUUAUUAAAAAAUAAUAUGUAUAACAAUCGGCCUUUAACAAUUAUAUAUACCAUGUAUUUCGCAAAAGGACAUGAGAUCACGAGAGAUUCCCGCAAACAGAUAUAUUCGAGGCAUGCCGACGAACGAGCUGAAAAGCCAAGAGAGAUCUCUAUCGACGCUUAAUCGUUAACAAGAACGAGAGAUCCAGCAUCUCGUAAGACAUUAAUCGCUCGAAAGUGACGCUGCCAACCGACCAGGGCAAUAACAACAACAACAACAACAACUGGGAUACCUGUUGGAUAUAUUCGAAAGUCUUGGUGGAAUGUGUGAAGAUGGCCAUUAUAUAGCCGAGUAUGGGUUAAAUUAUAUUAAAUACUAAAUAACCGGUGGAAGACCACAGUCUAAUUGUUGCGUCGUUUGCAUAAUGCCCGGUCUGUAACUACUCUCUUCCCUUCUGUAUCCCCACUCUCCAUCCCGUUUCCAUCUCUGUCCACUUGUACCCUCUUUAACGUGCCUUCUCCGCGUAUAUCUCCUCGUUGCAUCCUCCUAUCUUCUUUCUGUGACCCCCUUCCACUUUACAACGACCGUGUCCCCUCUUCUCUGAUUCAGUCGCAAUAUACCGGACCGAAAGAUUAAUUGUUAAUUCUCGCUACUGCAACCAGUUGCUACCAAAUGUUCAAAGAUUCGUUUCUGUAUGGAUUAAGAAACCGAUGGAUCAGGUAGCAGUAUGCACAAAGGAAUUGUAAAUGUAGUAAAAUCUUGGUAGGAUGAAUUCCGUUUCUUAAUACGGUAAGCGAAUUCGAGGUUAAGUUAAGCAAGGAUUAAGAAACCGAUAGAUUGGAUAACAAUGUACAGAAAGAAGUUUUAAAUGUGGUAGAGAAUAUAUUCGUUUCUUGACACGAUAUGCAAAUGUUCACAUUUGAAGGUAGAUUAAGCAAAGAUUAAGAAACCAACCGAUCUAAUAUAAAUGUUCAUGAAGAAAAAAAUAAAUGUGAAAAGAAAUCUUGAUUUUUUUUUACGUAUGUUAAUGUUUAAGAUUAGGUUAAGUUAAAUGGGACAAAGAUAAAUGAAUCUAAUGAAAUAAA